rnacentral:lncRNA from 1 species
CCCUUCUUUGUCACGACUCUUCAGGCAGCAUUUCUGUGUCAUAAGGAAUCUGCAUAUGAGUUCCAGUUCCAUGGCUGCCACCUCCUCCUAUGCCUCUGUCUCUUUCCUCUGACCCAUGUGUCAUCCAUUGCUUGGAAGACUGAAUCUAACAGAUUUUCUCACUCCUGCUUUGAAAGUGUCUAAGCCAAGGAAAGAUGAAACUCAUGAAUAAUCCAACCAACACCCUAUAAUCUGAAAUUCCUCAAAGCCUUAAGUCAGAAUAAGCACAAUGAUACUGUUUCAAAGGACUCUGAAUUAGAACUUUUUUAUUGGAAAAUUUAUAUUGAAUGAUCAGAGGGUUAAAUCUUCAGUGACAAAUUCCAAACUGUCUCAGUUCUCUGUUUGAAUUCAAUUUCUUCAAAAUUGAUGAAUACCAGAGUUUCCGUCAAGAGCAUUAAGGAUUCUGAGGCGCCAGUACCAGGUGUCAAGGGUUACAGCCACAUCUCUGUAUCAGACAUCCUGUGA